AACGAACGCUGGCGGCAUGCCUAACACAUGCAAGUCGAACGAGACCUUCGGGUCUAGUGGCGCACGGGUGCGUAACGCGUGGGAACCUGCCCUUAGGUUCGGAAUAACUCCCCGAAAGGGGUGCUAAUACCGGAUAAUGCCUUCGGACCAAAGAUUUAUCGCCUUUGGAUGGGCCCGCGUUGGAUUAGCUAGUUGGUAGGGUAAAAGCCUACCAAGGCGACGAUCCAUAGCUGGUCUGAGAGGAUGAUCAGCCACACUGGGACUGAGACACGGCCCAGACUCCUACGGGAGGCAGCAGUGGGGAAUAUUGGACAAUGGGCGAAAGCCUGAUCCAGCAAUGCCGCGUGAGUGAUGAAGGCCUUAGGGUUGUAAAGCUCUUUUACCCGGGAUGAUAAUGACGGUACCGGGAGAAUAAGCGCCGGCUAACUCCGUG
rnacentral:rRNA from 1 species